rnacentral:tRNA from 1 species
GGCUCAGUAGCUUAGCUGGUCAAAGCGAUAGUCCAGCAUAUAAGAGUCGUGAGUUCAAAUCUCACCUGAGCAC